rnacentral:rRNA from 1 species
UACGUAGGGUGCAAGCGUUAAUCGGAAUUAUUGGGCGUAAAGCGCGCGCAGGUGGUUUCUUAAGUCUGAUGUGAAAGCCCACGGCUCAACCGUGGAGGGUCAUUGGAAACUGGGGAACUUGAGUGCAGGAGAGAAGAGUGGAAUUCCACGUGUAGCGGUGAAAUGCGUAGAGAUGUGGAGGAACACCAGUGGCGAAGGCGACUCUUUGGCCUGUAACUGACACUGAGGCGCGAAAGCAUGGGGAUCAAACAGG